GAUGAAGAACGUAGCGAAAUGCGAUAAGUAAUGUGAAUUGCAGAAUUCAGUGAAUCAUCGAAUCUUUGAACGCACAUUGCGCCCGCCAGUAUUCUGGCGGGCAUGCCUGUUCGAGCGUCAUUUCAACCAUCAAGCCCCCGGCUUGUGUUGGGGACCUGCGGCUGCCGCAGGCCCUGAAAACCAGUGGCGGGCUCGCUAGUCACUCCGAGCGUAGUGAUACAUCUCGCUCAGGGCGUGCUGCGGGUUCCGGCCGUUAAAAAGCCUUAUUUACCCAAGGUUGACCUCGGAUCAGGUAGGAAGACCCGCUGAACUUAAGCAUAUCAAUAAGCGGAGGA
rnacentral:misc_RNA from 1 species